rnacentral:rRNA from 1 species
AACGAACGCUGGCGGCAGGCUUAACACAUGCAAGUCGAACGCCCCGCAAGGGGAGUGGCAGACGGGUGGGUAACGCGUGGGAACAUACCCUUUUCUACGGAAUAGCUCUGGGAAACUGGAAUUAAUACCGUAUACGCCCUACGGGGGAAAGAUUUAUCGGGGAAGGAUUGGCCCGCGUUGGAUUAGCUAGUUGGUGGGGUAAAGGCCUACCAAGGCGACGAUCCAUAGCUGGUCUGAGAGGAUGAUCAGCCACAUUGGGACUGAGACACGGCCCAAACUCCUACGGGAGGCAGCAGUGGGGAAUAUUGGAAAAUGGGCGCAAGCCUGAUCCAGCCAUGACGCGUGAGUGAUGAAGGCCUUAGGGUUGUAAAGCUCUUUCACCGAUGAAGAUAAUGACGGUAGUCGGAGAAGAAGCCCCGGCUAACUUCGUG